AUUGAACGCUGGCGGCAGGCCUAACACAUGCAAGUCGAGCGGAGCGGCGGACGGGUGAGUAAUGCCUAGGAAUCUGCCUGGUAGUGGGGGAUAACGUCCGGAAACGGGCGCUAAUACCGCAUAAUAUCAGAUGAGCCUAGGGCGGAUUAGCUAGUUGGUGGGGUAAAGGCCUACCAAGGCGACGAUCCGUAACUGGUCUGAGAGGAUGAUCAGUCACACUGGAACGAAGACACGGUCCAGACUCGUACGGGAGGCAGCAGUGGGGAAUAUUGGACAAGGGGCUAAAGCCUGAUCCAGCCAUGCCGCGUGUGUGAAGAAGGUCUUCGGAUUGUAAAGCACUUUAAGUUGGGAGGCGUUACCAACAGAAUAAGCACCGGCUAACUUCGUGCCAGCCGCCGCGGUAACUC
rnacentral:rRNA from 1 species